GCCUUAGCUGUAACCAAACAAUUAAAUAACCAAUUGUUCGCCAAAUAACUACGAGUGAAAACUUAAAAUUUAAAAGACUUGACGGUACUUCACACCGACCUAGAGGAGCCUGUCUAUUAACCGAUAAUCCACGACAACCCAACCCACCCUAGCCCACAACAGUCUAUAUACCGCCGUCGCCAGCCUGCCUUAUGAAAGAAACAAAGCGGACCUAAUAGAAUCGCACUAACACGACAGGUCGAGGUGUAACUAAUGGGUGGGAACAAGAUGGGCUACAUUUUCUAACCCAGAAAAUACGGAUAAACUAUGAAACUAGAAACUGAAGGCGGAUUUAGCAGUAAGUUAAGAACAAGACACUUAACUGAAACAAACGCAAUGAAGUGCGUACACACCGCCCGUCAUCCCUGCAAGUACAACUAAAAAUACAUAAACUACCAACCCACCCCAAUCAGGGCAAGUCGUAACAUGGUAAGCGUACUGGAAAGUGCGCUUAGAAA
rnacentral:rRNA from 1 species